CAGAUAUUAGUUUAGUUAAAAUAUUAAUUUUGGAGAUUAAAGUUGAAGUUUAUUUUUUAUAUCUGA
rnacentral:tRNA from 1 species